CACAAUCCCAGCGUGGGCACCACUUGCCUGAGUGUGGAGGCUGCCAGCAGUCGUACCUCAGGCUGCAGGCCACUCCUCUGCAUGUCCCUUCCUGUGGCUCAGUUAUCAUUUAAAGAUCCUGUCAUUAUGGACCACAGGAGUCCAGAGCGGUAGCCUGGCCAGUUACCUUGACAACCUCAUGCUGUAAACUGCUUCCUGGCUGCGGAUCUAAUGCGAUUCUCGAUACUGUGGGCUCCUCCCGGCCUGGAUGACAGCAGCUGAAGUGAGAGCUUACAGCUCACUUUUAAUGAUCCCCUUCGUGGCAUCUUUAGGGUAUAUUUGCAUUAGCAAUGGAAGAAAUUGUGGAAGAUGGCUGUUAAGAUGCUUCCCAGUGAUUUCCACCUUCUGGUAUUCAUGCCCUGAGCGCUUUCCUCCUACAAGUCACUCAGUGACAUGGCCAGAUGCCAUGUCAUGAAAACCCUUUGGUGUUCUGUGAAGAAGCUCACGUGAAGAGCAGCUGAGGUCUCCUGUCAACAGCCAUGCGAGUGAGCCAUCUUGGAAGCGGAUCUGCCUGCCCCAGCCUUCUGAUGACUGCAGCCCACUGGCUACAGCUUCUCUGCAAUGCCAUGAGAGGCUCUCAGCCAGAAUCUCCCAGCUAAGCCACUCUUGGUUUCCCCACCCUCAGAGAAUGUGAGAUAAAUGUUUGCUUUUUUAAGCAUCCUGUUUCCGAGUAGUGUAGCAACAAGUAUCUGAUGCAGGAGCCUAUCCAUAACCAAUGACCGAGAAAGGCUAUCAAAUGUCACUUCCUGAAUGGAGCCAGUGAGUCAAGUGCUAGACUAUUCAUUACUUAGUCAUGGAUUUGGAUUUGAUUGUAUGCUGUAAAAAAAAAAGCUAUUUAUUGGUCUUGCUUCUUAGCAUCAGCUAAUUA
rnacentral:lncRNA from 13 species